AACGAACGCUGGCGGCAGGCCUAACACAUGCAAGUCGAACGCCCCGCAAGGGGAGUGCAGACGGGUGAGUAACGCGUGGGAACGUACCCUUCGGUUCGGAAUAACCCGGGGAAACUCGGGCUAAUACCGGAUACGUCCGCAAGGAGAAAGAUUUAUCGCCGAAGGAUCGGCCCGCGUCGGAUUAGCUAGUUGGUGGGGUAAUGGCCCACCAAGGCGACGAUCCGUAGCUGGUCUGAGAGGAUGAUCAGCCACACUGGGACUGAGACACGGCCCAGACUCCUACGGGAGGCAGCAGUGGGGAAUAUUGGACAAUGGGCGAAAGCCUGAUCCAGCCAUGCCGCGUGAGUGAAGAAGGCCUUAGGGUUGUAAAGCUCUUUCAGCGGGGAAGAUAAUGACGGUACCCGCAGAAGAAGCCCCGGCUAACUUCGUGCCAGCCGCCGCAGUAAG
rnacentral:rRNA from 1 species